rnacentral:rRNA from 1 species
CGACCUCAGUCGGUCGAGGCUAACCGCUAAAUUUAAGCAUAUUACUAAGCGGGU